rnacentral:lncRNA from 10 species
CUUUGAGAGAUACUGCAAACCAGGUGUGGUGGCUCACGCCCGUAAUCCUAGAACUUUGAGCGGUCGAGGCGGGAGCAUCGCUUGAGCCCAGUAGUUCAAGACCAGCCGGGACAGCAAAAUGAGACCCCGUCUCUACAAAAAACAUUUUAAAAACUAGCCGGGAGUUGUGGCACGCACCUGUGGUCCCAGCUACUUGGGAGGCUGAGGCAGGAGGAGCGCUUGAGCCCAGGAGAUCUAGGCUUCAGUAAGCCAUGAUCAUAUCACUGCACUCCAGCCCGGGUGACAGAGUGAGACCGUGUCUCAAAAAAUGAGAGAAAAAGCGAGAUACUGCAUUAGAUCAUGCCUAAGAGUUGAGUUGUUAGUCUAGUGCCUUCCCCAAGCGGCACGAAGGACAGACUCCAGAUCUGCACUGGCUACUAUGGAAGCCACCAGUCACAUGUGGCUACUGAGCACCAGGAACAUCCACACUGAGAUGUGCGCAUCUGCUGAAAAAAUCAGAAGAUUCAGCAAUACUGAGCCCACCACCCCAAAUGAAAAAAAUUCUCCUGGCUCCAGGAUGAAGUAACUGCUUCAUCAGAAGCCCUUCAGAAGAACACACAGGCAUUUCUGGGCAUUGCUAGGAAUGUGUCAGUGAAAGAACGGUUUUUCAGACUGCUCUCUUCCACCAUGGAUUGCUCUUCCCAUAUCAUCUCAGACAGAGGCAAAGUCCCCGAAAAGCUGAAUGUUCCUUCUCCUGGGGAGAGAGUGCAAGUUUCUCCAGUCUACUAAAUCUGAAUGUGUAUAUAAUCCUUUUGUAAUGUGGAGGAAUGUAAUUAAGACCCACUCUGUCAGACAGCUGGAUAAAGUUUUUCUCUUUCCUUCCUCUUCUCUCUCUUUUUCCUCCCUCACCCCUCUUUCCUUCCCUCUCCCUUUCACUAUCUUCAGGGACCUUAAGAAAAGUGGCUUUAGCAAUAGUCAAUUUGUCGCCAAACUGUACAUCACCCAAUGUGACAUUAGCCAUGGUAGGGGACAGAAAUUAAUAUCUUUUACCCAGUCAUUGCAAGGUACUUUGUUGAGAUCUUUAUAACAAAAGAUCAAUGAACAGGAUAAAAAUGGACAAAAUUGUUUAAUAUAAGUUUUAUGUGACACGGGAGCCUUCAGAAAUAAAGACCCAAAGAGACAUGAAAAGCUGUAUUUUUGUGAUUGGGUUUGAUGAAGAGUGGACAGUCAUGCAGAAGUAUGAUUGGACAAAAGGGUAUAUGGUCUAACGGUAAUAAACUGAGGGGAACCUAGCAAGGCCUGUUUGUACAGAACCUUCUCUGAUGUCUCUGCCUUCAUUCCUUUCCUCUGCGCAAAGGAAGGAUCCCUGUGAAUGAGGGUCCUAUGACCUAUGUUAGAGGAAAGUCAGAGCAUUCUUUUAUGGCUUGCUUCUGGAGAGAAUAGCAUUCCAUUGGGUACUAUGCUCAUUACUGGGUCAAGAGAUCAAUUUUACCCCAAACCUUAGCAUCAUGCAAUAUAUUUAUGUAAUAAACUUGCACAUGUAUGCACUGAAUCUAAAAUAAAAGUGAAA